GCUCAGUCAGUUUAGCAUCAGGCUCUUGAUUUCUGCUCAAGUCAUGAUCUCAGUUUGUGGGUUCAAGCCCCACAUUGGGCU
rnacentral:tRNA from 1 species